rnacentral:rRNA from 1 species
UACGUAGGGCGCAAGCGUUGUCCGGAAUUAUUGGGCGUAAAGAGCUCGUAGCGGUCUGUACGUCCGCUGUGAAAACCCAGGGCUUAACCCUGGGCUUGCAGUGGAUACGGGCAGACUAGAGGCAGGUAGGGGAGAAUGGAAUUCCCGGUGUAGCGGUGAAAUGCGCAGAUAUCGGGAGGAACACCGGUGGCGAAGGCGGUUCUCUGGGCCUGACCCUGCGCGAGGAG